UACGUAGGAUCCAAGCGUUAUCCGGAUUUAUUGGGUUUAAAGGGUGCGUAGGCGGCCAUUUAAGUCAGCGGUGAAAUUUUGCAGCUUAACUGUAACAGUGCCGUUGAUACUGUUUGGCUAGGAUUUGGUUGUAGUGUGCGGAAUGUGUGGUGUAGCGGUGAAAUGCUUAGAGAUCACACAGAAUAUCGAUUGCGAAGGCAGCUCACAAAGCCAAGAUUGACGCUGAGGCACGAAAGUGUGGGGAUCAAACAGGAUUAGA
rnacentral:rRNA from 1 species